GACGAACGCUGGCGGCGUGCCUAAUACAUGCAAGUCGAGCGAAGUUUUUCUGGUGCUUGCACCGGAAAAACUUAGCGGCGAACGGGUGAGUAACACGUAAAGAACCUGCCUCAUAGACUGGGACAACUAUUGGAAACGAUAGCUAAUACCGGAUAAUAGCAUUAACUGCAUGGUUGAUGUUUAAAAGUUGGUUUUGCUAACACUAUGAGAUGGCUUUGCGGUGCAUUAGCUAGUUGGUGGGGUAAAGGCCUACCAAGGCGACGAUGCAUAGCCGACCUGAGGGGGUGGACGGCCACCCUGGGAGUGAGAAACGGCCCAGACUCCUACGGGAGGCAGCAGUAGGGAAUCUUCCGCAAGGGGCGAAAGCCUGACGGAGCAACGCCGCGGGAGGGAAGAAGGAUUUCGGUUCGUAAAGCUCUGUUGUUAGGGAAGAAUGAUUGUGUAGUAACCAUACACAGUAGAGACGGUACCUAACCAGAAAGCCACGGCUAACUACGUG
rnacentral:rRNA from 1 species